CACUCCUGCGGGAGGCAGCAGUGGGGAAUUUUGGACAAUGGGCGAAAGCCUGAUCCAGCAAUGCCGCGUGAGUGAAGAAGGCCUUCGGGUUGUAAAGCUCUUUUGUCAGGGAAGAAACGGUGAGAGCUAAUAUCUUUUGCUAAUGACUGUACCUGAAGAAUAAGCACCGGCUAACUACGUGCCAGCAGCCGCGGUAAUACGUAGGGUGCAAGCGUUAAUCGGAAUUACUGGGCGUAAAGCGUGCGCAGGCGGUUUUGUAAGUCUGAUGUGAAAUCCCCGGGCUCAACCUGGGAAUUGCAUUGGAGACUGCAAGGCUAGAAUCUGGCAGAGGGGGGUAGAAUUCCACGUGUAGCAGUGAAAUGCGUAGAUAUGUGGAGGAACACCGAUGGCGAAGGCAGCCCCCUGGGUCAAGAUUGACGCUCAUGCACGAAAGCGUGGGGAGCAAACAGGAUUAGAAACCCGAGUAGUCCCA
rnacentral:rRNA from 1 species